GAGUGAAAUAGAACCUGAAACCGUGUGCUUACAAGUAGUCAGAGCCCGUUAAUGGGUGAUGGCGUGCCUUUUGUAGAAUGAACCGGCGAGUUACGAUUUGAUGCAAGGUUAAGCAGUAAAUGUGGAGCCGUAGCGAAAGCGAGUCUGAAUAGGGCGUUUAGUAUUUGGUCGUAGACCCGAAACCAGGUGAUCUACCCUUGGUCAGGUUGAAGUUCAGGUAACACUGAAUGGAGGACCGAACCGACUUACGUUGAAAAGUGAGCGGAUGAACUGAGGGUAGCGGAGAAAUUCCAAUCGAACCUGGAGAUAGCUGGUUCUCUCCGAAAUAGCUUUAGGGCUAGCCUCAAGUGAUGAUUAUUGGAGGUAGAGCACUGUUUGGACGAGGGGCCCCUCUCGGGUUACCGAAUUCAGACAAACUCCGAAUGCCAAUUAAUUUAACUUGGGAGUCAGAACAUGGGUGAUAAGGUCCGUGUUCGAAAGGGAAACAGCCCAGACCACCAGCUAAGGUCCCAAAAUAUAUGUUAAGUGGAAAAGGAUGUGGCGUUGCCCAGACAACUAGGAUGUUGGCUUAGAAGCAGCCAUCAUUUAAAGAGUGCGUAAUAGCUCACUAGUCGAGUGACACUGCGCCGAAAAUGUACCGGGGCUAAACAUAUUACCGAAGCUGUGGAUUGUCCUUUGGACAAUGGUAGGAGAGCGUUCUAAGGGCGUUGAAGCAUGAUCGUAAGGACAUGUGGAGCGCUUAGAAGUGAGAAUGCCGGUGUGAGUAGCGAAAGACGGGUGAGAAUCCCGUCCACCGAUUGACUAAGGUUUCCAGAGGAAGGCUCGUCCGCUCUGGGUUAGUCGGGUCCUAAGCUGAGGCCGACAGGCGUAGGCGAUGGAUAACAGGUUGAUAUUCCUGUACCACCUAUAAUCGUUUUAAUCGAUGGGGGGACGCAGUAGGAUAGGCGAAGCGUGCGAUUGGAUUGCACGUCUAAGCAGUAAGGCUGAGUAUUAGGCAAAUCCGGUACUCGUUAAGGCUGAGCUGUGAUGGGGAGAAGACAUUGUGUCUUCGAGUCGUUGAUUUCACACUGCCGAGAAAAGCCUCUAGAUAGAAAAUAGGUGCCCGUACCGCAAACCGACACAGGUAGUCAAGAUGAGAAUUCUAAGGUGAGCGAGCGAACUCUCGUUAAGGAACUCGGCAAAAUGACCCCGUAACUUCGGGAGAAGGGGUGCUCUUUAGGGUUAACGCCCAGAAGAGCCGCAGUGAAUAGGCCCAAGCGACUGUUUAUCAAAAACACAGGUCUCUGCUAAACCGUAAGGUGAUGUAUAGGGGCUGACGCCUGCCCGGUGCUGGAAGGUUAAGAGGAGUGGUUAGCUUCUGCGAAGCUACGAAUCGAAGCCCCAGUAAACGGCGGCCGUAACUAUAACGGUCCUAAGGUAGCGAAAUUCCUUGUCGGGUAAGUUCCGACCCGCACGAAAGGCGUAACGAUUUGGGCACUGUCUCAACGAGAGACUCGGUGAAAUCAUAGUACCUGUGAAGAUGCAGGUUACCCGCGACAGGACGGAAAGACCCCGUGGAGCUUUACUGUAGCCUGAUAUUGAAAUUCGGCACAGCUUGUACAGGAUAGGUAGGAGCCUUUGAAACGUGAGCGCUAGCUUACGUGGAGGCGCUGGUGGGAUACUACCCUAGCUGUGUUGGCUUUCUAACCCGCACCA
rnacentral:rRNA from 1 species